rnacentral:misc_RNA from 1 species
GUGAAAUGUCUGCAGUUCACAUCGACUAAAGAGAAUUUUCAAUAAGUCUUCAGUUUAAUUAUCGAUUACUGUGUUCUUGAGACUCUCCAGUGUCAGAUUAAGAAGUUUGAUGUAUCUUCUAUUCAAGUUUAUCACCAGCAGGUUUUCAUGCUACCCUCAGUACUCCUCAAAUCUUUUGAGUCAUAUUAUUUUCCUCAUUCAAUUAAGUUUAUUUCA